rnacentral:rRNA from 1 species
CUGCCAGUAGUCAUAUGCUUGUCUCAAAGAUUAAGCCAUGCAUGUCUAAGUCCAAGCUGUGUUCACACGGCGAGACCGCGGACGGCUCAUUAAAUCAGUCGUGGUCCAAAUGGGCCAGUGCAAAUCCUACUUGGAUAACUGUGGUAAUUCCAGAGCUAAUACAUGCAACUGAUAUCCCGAAGGCGGUGUUUGGGCUUGCUUGCCUUGCGCUGCGCUGCUCUGACGGAUGCUUUUAUUAGACCAAGCCGCUGAGGACUUGAGGGUUCGCGCUCUCUUGUCUGACUCGUGUGAUGGUGACUCUGGAUAACCAAAUUCUGACAAGCGCACGUACUUCUCUUCUGAGCGAGACGGCGCUGCCACUUUCGAGUGUCUGCCUUAUCAGCUAUCAACCGUUCGUUAUGCGCGACCGAUGGCUUUGACGGGUAACGGGGAAUCAGGGUUCGAUUCCGGAGAGGCAGCCUGAGAGACGGCUACCACGUCCAAGGACGGCAGCAGGCACGCAAAUUACCCAAUCCCAGCAAAUGGGGGAGGUAGUGACGAAAUCUAACGAUGCGGGCGCCCUUUCUGGGGCCCCGCAAUCGGAAUGGGCACUUUCUAAACAAC